GCAAAACAUUUAUGUGAGGUGAAACAUUGAUAUUUGGCUUUUGUGUAUUCUGCCUGCCUAGGUUAGGAGCAGAACAGUGUCCUAAGC